AGGAUAGAGCAGCCUGGAGUUACUAUUUAACAGUAUGCUCGUCGGGCUCAUAACCCGGAGGCCGAAGGUUCAAAUCCUUCUCCCGCUA
rnacentral:tRNA from 1 species